CCCCUCGACCCCGCCCACCGCCUCUAGCACUACCACGACCGCCGCCGGCCCCUCCGCGCCCCGCCGUCCCGCGGGUGCCGCCGCCUCGCCCGCGAGCACCGCCUCCGCGCCCCCGCCGAGCGUCGCAGCCACCGCCAGCACCUCCACGCCGGGUUCCUCGACAUGGGCUCUCUCCGGCACGCGCGCGAGCAGCUCCUGGAGCCCGAGCCGGCGCGGUCCCUAGGGCGGCGGUACCCGAUGGCGGGGACGUCCCGGAGCUAGCGGCUCUCCUAGGAAGAAUGGUUCGCGUUCUACCUUGUUCAGUUCCUUAGAGAUCAUGCAGGUUGGUGAUUACAAGGAGUCUGUUGUGGGAGUUCACGUUGGCGAUAUAAGGUCCUACCUCGAAGGUUCAGGUGGCGACUUAAUUGGUCCUUGGACAGUCGACGACCCAGUAAGGGACGGAGUUGGGGUUGGGGUCAUUGAUACAGAAGAAGAUAGAACUUCGUUAGGGCUGGUUUACUUUGUGGUCGUCCUCAUAGAAGAAGGGUUAGUCGAUUGGAAGGAAGUUAACAAAGAGACGGUGGCCAACCAAGACGUUUAUAACUUCACCUUUUUCGACAAUUAACAGGAUUAAAGUCUGUUUCACCUCGUUGAUAACCGGUCUGUUUAUUUAGUCGAGUAAAAUGACGAUGAUCCAGGUCGGUUUCAUCUCAGGUCUCAAGAUGACGUCCCUUUAGAGUACUUUUCUUCCGUGGAAGCCGAGUUGGACAGUUGUCCUUGUAACGAUAUCCUCUAGUACAAGGUGGCCCUCGUCGUCGUAAAAAAGUUGUCCUUGGGACGAAGAGGUUAGUGUUAUGCUAUCACUUUUUACAAGUUGACCAAGACGUGGUUGGACGGUUGGUAGGAUCGACCUGCCAUGGUAGUUGACUCAUAUACGUACGAGCCGACCUGACAGUUUAUACAUUUUGUAAAUAGUGACUACACCUCUCAAACGAGCAAACACUACGAACGCUCUCCCCACAUGUGAAUUUUACAGAUUUCGUCCUACCCUUACUUCCGGACAGUUAACAUCUAACCAUAACAGGUUGGACACAUUGCAUAUCAUUCCCGUUUGGAGACGGAGGUUUUAUACCGUUCCAAUGUUCUUGUUAACAAUGUAGUUUCCGAUCUCCACAUUGAAGCGUCUCUCGUGGUCCUUUGGGUGCGUGUUUUCUAUCACUUCUUCACCGUCCUUUACCUUCAAAGUAGUUCGUAUUGAGGUCACUUGGACCAUCCAGACAUGCAUUGUCACUGUACAACCGGAAUCUGUGACGAUCAAGUUUUUGUGUUAGCCGGAGACGAAGACUUAUAGUUUUCCUUUUGUGAUUUGUAUGACUGUGAGACAAGUUUGUUUUCCUUCCUGUACCGGGUGGAAGUUCUUCGAAUCAAUGUUUCUGGUACCUUAGGAGGUCAGUUUAACUUUCAUCACCUCCUAGUUGUAUAUCACGACGACCUUUAGACAGCCUUGUCAGAGUAUUCGUUUCUCUCUAUUAACUCAAUGAAGGUACACGACACUUAAGUCAUUUACUAAGGUGUGACGUCUGAUGACGUUAAAAACUGCCCCCCUUAAGGCUUGUAAGGAAGUAACUGAGUAGACUUUACACACCUUAUCUUCCUUUGAGACUGGUUGAAGACUUGUUCCUGCUUGUUUGUUGGUCGUCGUCAUAUUGUGGUCGUCUAGUUUGUGUAGUUCUUCUACAUCGGCGACUAUAACCUUAUCCCACAGGAGUCCUACUACUUUGUUGUCUUCAAUUACGGUACAGUCUUGUAUUGUUACACAUAGACCACUUUAGUUUGUACCUGAAUACACGAUUCGUGCUUCAAUACCGUCCAGGUUUCUCACUUCGAAAUCCAAUGUCGAGUCUAGAACCACUACACCUAACCCAACCGCUACGGGACUUUCAACACCCGUUGUAUUGAAUAAUAUUGAGGACAUAACAACUACCAUAUUGUAUGUUAGAGGUUCUAGUAUAAAACUAACCAAGGUUUCUACCGUUCAGACGAGGUAGGUUCGACGUCAGUGACACCCUUCUCGUACUGAGGGUUAGAUUCGACCGAUACCAAUUAUGUAUAAAGAAACGAAGCCUGUAAGGUCUUAGCCGAUGGUUUGGUACAAGAGGACUUCUCUUACUCCAUAUACGAAGUUUACUAGUUUCUUGUCAUUACCAAAGAAGUUAAACACCGAGUACACUACACAACGUACAACUGUUCAAAUCUCUUCUCUGAUUAUCUUCUUUAGUCCACCAGUCAAGUCUAUCAUUCGAUGUAGGUUAAAAGAAACCGUCCACCUUCAUACUACUUACGUGUCCGUUAAAACAAUCACAUCUAUCAAGCUACCCAAAGACUGUAAGAAAACUUAGUGUCAAGUGUUGACAUGUAACGGCAAGCAGAGAGCAAGGUCGGUAGAACGACCUACAUAUACACUUCCUACUUCGACUUCACUCCAAGUAUACGUGUCAAUGAUAUAAUAUCUUACUACACAUGACCAAGUCUAGAACGACGCCCAAACGGAGGAACGAAGGAUAGCUUAAACUCGAUAAAGGACACCUCAACAACGUUUUAAGUCUGGGAACUAAAUGAACCA
rnacentral:rRNA from 1 species